rnacentral:lncRNA from 1 species
CGGUUGGGGCUAGAAUGGACACAACAUUCAAACUGGAUACAGCUCUGAAUUUGGAUUGUGAUUAAAUAGUUGACACAGCAUAGGUUUCUGACACAGAAUGAAUGUAGUCUAAUGAACUUAAAAUGUUGUUUUUUUUGCUUUUGAGCAAUUCACUAUGCUGUUGAAUAUUAAUCCUUUGAUAUUUGAAGAAAUUUUCUUUUUCAUUUCUGAAAUCUGAAAUAAGAAAAAUUGAACCCCACCAAUUUUUGUUCACCUCCCCCUUUCCCUUAUUCCAAAAAUGAUCUCAAUUCAA